rnacentral:rRNA from 1 species
CUGCUGCCUCCCGUAGGAGUUUGGACCGUGUCUCAGUUCCAAUGUGGGGGACCUUCCUCUCAGAACCCCCUACUGAUCGUCGCCCCGGUGGGCCGUUACCCCGCCGGCAAGCUAAUCAGACGCAUCCCCAUCCUUUACCGGCCGAAGCCUUUGGUCAUGAAAAUAUGCAUCAACAUGACAACAUACGGUAUUAAUCCGCCUUUCGACGGGCUGUCCCAUAGUAAAGGGCAGGUUGGAUACGCGUUACUCACCCGUGCGCCGGUCGCCA